rnacentral:rRNA from 1 species
CCUAAUAGAACCCCAAAAACGAAAGUUACUCUAAUUAACCUCUUGAAUACACGACAGUUUGGGCACAAACUGGGAUUAGAUACCCCACUAUGCCAAACCGUAAAUUUGAACUACACUUAAAACGCCAGGGUACUACGAGCCGAGCUUAAAACCCAAAGGAUUUGACGGUGUUCCACCCAUCUAGAGGAGCCUGUUCUAUAAUCGAUGAUCCACGAUAUACCUAACCAUUUUUUGCUAUUCAGCCUGUAUACCUCCGUCGUAAGCUUACCGCUUGAGUGAGGAAAAGUAAGCAAAAGGACCUAAAGCCAAAACGUCAGGUCAAGGUGCAGCUUAUAAAAUGGAAGAAAUGAGCUACAAUUUCUAAUUUAGAAUACACGAAUUACUGCAUGAAACAAAGUCAUGAAGGUGGAUUUAGCAGUAAGUGAGGAAUAGAGAGCCUCACUUAAUUCGGCCCUGGAACGCGUACAAACCGCCCGUCACCCUCUUCGAUAGCUUCAUUAAUAGUUAAAUAACCUAUUUACCGCGUUUUAGAAGAGGCAAGUCGUAACAUGGUAAGCAUACUGGAAAGUGUUCUUGGAAUAA